ensembl:lncRNA
UCAGGGGUUCUGACAACAAAACCUACACUUUAUCAGCGGUCCCAUGAGAUUCUACAAAAGAAGUGAAAUUAGUACUGAAGUGGUCUUAUGAAGAUGGGAGCAGGACUACCCCAACUAACUGCUGACUUCUUACCCAAGGGAGCUAACCAUAUCCCAAGAUAAUCUCAGUGGGGAUCAGUGUUGGAAGGCCCACUGGUGCUAUCUUACCUCCAGGAUCAACUUUAUCAGUUUCUCUCCUGCUCUGCCAACAGGAUAUCCAGUGUUUGCUGAAUGCCAGGACCUAUGCUUUAUCGUAUUUAUGCCAUAACUAUCUAUGGGGUCACACAGAGUCAGACACGACUGAAGUGACUUAGCAACAACCAUAUAAGGCUUGGUGAAUGGUGUGUGUAUGUGUAGGAGCUGUUGUCUGGCAAUGGCACCAGUGUUCAUGAG